CUCAUUCCACUGCUUUUGAUCCUGUGUUUGCUCAUUCUCUACGGAGCGAGCAACGCUUCUUCUUCCCAACCCAAGCAAGAUCUAAAGAACUUCGAAGAAAACUUUGAAGAGAGCUUGGAAGAGGAAACAGCAACCGGCGCGGAGAAAGUCACGCAAGUUCCUCUCAACUGGCGACUCUCAUCGAGGAAACUGAGGCUCAGAUUUCCUAGGAAAUCGGGAGGGACGAAGCUCGAGUGACAAUCUUCUUCUGCUUGAUAGUACAUCUAGAAACUACAUAUAUGAACAGUUAUCUCUUCUUCC